rnacentral:rRNA from 1 species
AUGAAAUCGAGUAGGACGGAGCACGAGAAACUUUGUCUGAAUAUGGGGGGACCAUCCUCCAAGGCUAAAUACUACUGACUGACCGAUAGUGAACUAGUACCGUGAGGGAAAGGCGAAAAGAACCCCGGAGAGGGGAGUGAAAUAGAUCCUGAAACCGUAUGCGUACAAGCAGUGGGAGCCCACUUUGUUGGGUGACUGCGUACCUUUUGUAUAAUGGGUCAGCGACUUAUUUUCAGUGGCGAGCUUAACCGAAUAGGGGAGGCGUAGCGAAAGCGAGUCUUAAUAGGGCGUCUAGUCGCUGGGAAUAGACCCGAAACCGGGCGAUCUAUCCAUGGGCAGGUUGAAGGUUAGGUAACACUGACUGGAGGACCGAACCGACUACCGUUGAAAAGUUAGCGGAUGACCUGUGGAUCGGAGUGAAAGGCUAAUCAAGCUCGGAGAUAGCUGGUUCUCCUCGAAAGCUAUUUAGGUAGCGCCUCAUGUAUCACUGUAGGGGGUAGAGCACUGUUUCGGCUAGGGGGUCAUCCCGACUUACCAAACCGAUGCAAACUCCGAAUACCUACAAGUGCCGAGCAUGGGAGACACACGGCGGGUGCUAACGUCCGUCGUGAAAAGGGAAACAACCCAGACCGUCAGCUAAGGUCCCAAAGUUAUGGUUAAGUGGGAAACGAUGUGGGAAGGCUUAGACAGCUAGGAGGUUGGCUUAGAAGCAGCCACCCUUUAAAGAAAGCGUAAUAGCUCACUAGUCGAGUCGGCCUGCGCGGAAGAUGUAACGGGGCUCAAACCAUACACCGAAGCUACGGGUAUCACUUAGGUGAUGCGGUAGAGGAGCGUUCUGUAAGCCUGUGAAGGUGAGUUGAGAAGCUUGCUGGAGGUAUCAGAAGUGCGAAUGCUGACAUGAGUAACGACAAUGGGUGUGAAAAACACCCACGCCGAAAGACCAAGGUUUCCUGCGCAACGUUAAUCGACGCAGGGUUAGUCGGUCCCUAAGGCGAGGCUGAAAAGCGUAGUCGAUGGAAAACAGGUUAAUAUUCCUGUACUUCUGGUUAUUGCGAUGGAGGGACGGAGAAGGCUAGGCCAGCUUGGCGUUGGUUGUCCAAGUUUAAGGUGGUAGGCUGGAAUCUUAGGUAAAUCCGGGAUUCUAAGGCCGAGAGCUGAUGACGAGUGUUCUUUUAGAACACGAAGUGGUUGAUGCCAUGCUUCCAAGAAAAGCUUCUAAGCUUCAGGUAACCAGGAACCGUACCCCAAACCGACACAGGUGGUUGGGUAGAGAAUACCAAGGCGCUUGAGAGAACUCGGGUGAAGGAACUAGGCAAAAUGGCACCGUAACUUCGGGAGAAGGUGCGCCGGUGAGGGUGAAGCAUUUACUGCGUAAGCCCACGCCGGUCGAAGAUACCAGGCCGCUGCGACUGUUUAUUAAAAACACAGCACUCUGCAAACACGAAAGUGGACGUAUAGGGUGUGACGCCUGCCCGGUGCCGGAAGGUUAAUUGA